GCAAGUCGAGCGGUAAGCUAACUUCGGUUAGCCUAGAGCGGCGGACGGGUGAGUAAUGCUUGGGGAUAUGCCUUAUGGUGGGGGACAACAGUUGGAAACGACUGCUAAUACCGCAUAACGUCUACGGACCAAAGGGGGGGAUCUUCGGACCUCUCGCCAUUUGAUUAGCCCAAGUGAGAUUAGCUAGUAGGUGAGGUAAGGGCUCACCUAGGCGACGAUCUCUAGCUGGUUUGAGAGGAUGAUC
rnacentral:rRNA from 1 species